UACAGAGGGUGCGAGCGUUGUUCGGAAUUACUGGGCGUAAAGCGCGCGCAGGCGGCCUUUUAAGUCUGGCGGUGAAAUGCCGGGGCUCAACCCCGUUGCAUGCCGCGGAUACUGGGAGGCUGGAGACGAGUAGAGGCAAGCGGAAUUCCUGGUGUAGCGGUGAAAUGCGCAGAUAUCAGGAGGAACACCAAUAGCGAAGGCAGCUCGCUGGGACGGUAUUGACGCUAAGGCGCGAAAGCGUGGGGAGCAAACAGG
rnacentral:rRNA from 1 species